AUUGUUGGUUUUUCUUUCUUUAACGGAAGGGUACCAACAAUUUUGUCCACGUCUGUAUUACUAGACGCACAUAUGGAUCUGUGAAGCCGUUUGGUAUUGCACAAGGAAGCUGUCUUGGUCCCCGGCUGUUUUCCUGAUAUAUGCUUUCAUUAGGUUACAUCAUCAUCAAGCUCUACGCAGACGAACCACAAUUAUACAUUUCUGUUGAGCCGACUAACCCAGAUGAUGCUUUUAAAACUUAAACAAGACAAAACAACAACUUUUGACCUCCACUAGAGGGCCACAUUAUCCAGUAGGAGGUGCACUACUCGUGCACUGUGUUCAACCAUUCAGUCAAUCACAAGUGCUGCUGUGAAGAGAACAAUUGUCAGACUGAAUGUUGAACAUCAGCUAGUUUCUCCUGUUGAUUUAAACCUUGUUGUAGACAUGGAACAUUGGCUGUGGAUUAUUCUUGCUGCUCUUUUCUUUGAGUGUAAAGGAGAAGACAGAGUGAACCAGACAACAGGAGAUGUCAUCGCUACUGAAGGACACACAAUCACACUGGACUGUACAUUUGUGACCAGUGACCAAAAUCCCACUUUGUUCUGGUACAAACAGGAAGUUCAUGAUUCCCCAAAGUACAUGCUGAAAAGUUUCUCAAAAAACGUAGAUAAAGCUCCAGAAUUCCAGAAAGACAGAUUUGAUGCUAGAAUCAACAAGAAAUCAGUUCCUCUGAAGAUCCAGAAGCUUCAGCUGUCAGACUCUGCUGUGUACUACUGUGCUCUGCAGCCCACAGUGACAGGAAACACCAAAACUCUGUACAAAAACCUUUGGAGCAAAGACAACACAAUACUCCACAACGUCCACUAGAGGGAGUCACACUCUGUUCCACUUCAACA